CCCUUAGAUGUUCUGGGCCGCACGCGCGCUACACUGACGGAGGCAGCGAGCGUGUCCUUCGCCGGCAGGUGCGGGCAAUCUUGCGAGUCUCCGUCGUGCUGGGGAUAGAUGGUUGCAAUUGUCGAUCUUGAACGAGGAAUUCCUAGUAAGCGCGAGUCAUCAGCUCGCGCUGAUUACGUCCCUGCCCUUUGUACACACCGCCCGUCGCUACUACAGGGUGCCCGUGUCCAAGAAACGGUCGGACCUGUGCGGCCUCUCCGGGCGACCGGAGGGCCGUUACGGGGAAGACCCUUUAUUUGACGCGGGUCGAUGAAGUAAAAGUCGUAACA
rnacentral:rRNA from 1 species